rnacentral:rRNA from 1 species
CCUACGGGAGGCAGCAGUGAGGAAUAUUGGUCAAUGGACGAGAGUCUGAACCAGCCAAGUAGCGUGAAGGAUGACUGCCCUAUGGGUUGUAAACUUCUUUUAUAUGGGAAUAAAACGUUCCACGUGUGGGAUUUUGUAUGUACCUUAUGAAUAAGGAUCGGCUAACUCCGUGCCAGCAGCCGCGGUAAUACGGAGGAUCCGAGCGUUAUCCGGAUUUAUUGGGUUUAAAGGGAGCGUAGGUGGAUUGUUAAGUCAGUUGUGAAAGUUUGCGGCUCAACCGUAAAAUUGCAGUUGAAACUGGCAGUCUUGAGUACAGUAGAGGUAGGCGGAAUUCGUGGUGUAGCGGUGAAAUGCUUAGAUAUCACGAAGAACUCCGAUUGCGAAGGCAGUUCACUGGACUGCAACUGACACUGAGGCUCGAAAGUGUGGGUAUCAAACAGGAUUAGAUACCCUGGUAGUC